CCUGGUGUGGUCUUCUGCUGCUGUAGCCCAUCCACUUCAUAUUAUGGUCAAAGUCACUUAGGGAGUGCAACCCAGUACUCAAAAAAUGCAACCUCCUUUCCUCCACUACCACGGGUGUGCCACAAUACUUGAAAAAUGCAACUUCUUUUCCUCCACUACCACCUCAUGUCUUCCAUGCCCUGGAAACCUAUCUUUGUGACCUUCUUCCCUCCAGUGCUCCAAUAUUGGAUGAGCCAGGCGAAGCGGCUUCAACCUCGGCUCCUCGACCUCCUGGCAAAGGUUACAUCAGCUCUGUAUUACAGUGGCGGUUGUGAUGGCAGUUGUAAAGGCUUGAGAGAUGACGAGAUAAUAAGAGUGAAUGACACGUGAUCUUCAUGUGGCUGGCUCGUACUCUAACACGUCGGCAUGUUCCUGCAUGCACACCUGUCAGCAUUGUGGGUGUCUACAGCACUCGGUUACCUCCUUUCUUUGUCCUCAGGUGCCAAGGCAAUGGUGGUCAAUGGUCUGGAACUGUACCGAAAUUACCCUGGAUCAGGACGAACUGGGGCUGAUUAAGACUGGUUGCUCUCACACAAUGCUGCCACAGGAGAUGUACUGACCUACAAGGAGGACUGUGAGCGUUUAGUGGCACUGUCUACUGAUAAGAAAACUCACUUAUAAGAA